CACGUAGGGUGCGAGCGUUUGUCCGGAAUUAUUGGGCGUAAAGAGCUCGUAGGCGGUGUGUCGCGUCGGCCGUGAAAACCUGCAGCUUAACUGUGGGCUUGCGGUCGAUACGGGCAUCACUGGAGUUCGGCAGGGGAGACUGGAAUUCCUGGUGUAGCGGUGAAAUGCGCAGAUAUCAGGGAGGAACACCGGGUGGCGAAGGCGGGUCUCUGGGCCGAUACUGACGCUGGAGGAGCGAAAAGCGUGGGGAGCGAACAGG
rnacentral:rRNA from 1 species